AGCGAACGCUGGCGGUAGGCUUAACACAUGCAAGUCGAGCGGGCCCUUCGGGGUCAGCGGCAGACGGGUGAGUAACGCGUGGGAACGUGCCCUUCGGUUCGGAAUAACCCUGGGAAACUAGGGCUAAUACCGGAUACGCCCUUAUGGGGAAAGGUUUACCGCCGAAGGAUCGGCCCGCGUCGGAUUAGCUUGUUGGUGAGGUAACGGCUCACCAAGGCGACGAUCAGUAGCUGGUCUGAGAGGAUGAUUAGCCACACUGGGACUGAGACACGGCCCAGACUCCUACGGGAGGCAGCAGUGGGGAAUAUUGGACAAUGGGGGCAACCCUGAUCCAGCCAUGCCGCGUGAGUGAUGACGGCCUUAGGGUUGUAAAGCUCUUUUACCCGGGACGAUAAUGACGGUACCGGGUGAAUAAGCCCCGGCUAACUUCGUGCCAGCCGCCGCCGUAA
rnacentral:rRNA from 1 species